UACGUAGGGUGCAAGCGUUAAUCGGAAUUACUGGGCAUAAAGGGCGCGUAGGCGGCACUGUUAGUCAGGCGUGAAAGCCCUGGGCUCAACCUGGGAAUUGCAUUGGAUACUGGCAGGCUAGAGUGCGGUAGAGGAUGGCGGAAUUCCCGGUGUAGCAGUGAAAUGCGUAGAGAUCGGGAGGAACAUCUGUGGCGAAGGCGGCCAUCUGGACCAGCACUGACACUGAGGCACGAAAGCGUGGGGAGCAAACAGG
rnacentral:rRNA from 1 species